UGCCUACGGGGCGCAGCAGUGAGGAAUAUUGGUCAAUGGCCGAGAGGCUGAACCAGCCAAGUCGCGUGAGGGAAGACGGCCCUACGGGUUGUAAACCUCUUUUGUCGGGGAGCAAAGCGAACCACGUGUGGUUCAUUGAGAGUACCCGAAGAAAAAGCAUCGGCUAACUCCGUGCCAGCAGCCGCGGUAAUACGGAGGAUGCGAGCGUUAUCCGGAUUUAUUGGGUUUAAAGGGUGCGUAGGCGGGAUGCCAAGUCAGCGGUAAAAAUGCGGUGCUCAACGCCGUCGAGCCGUUGAAACUGGCGU
rnacentral:rRNA from 1 species